CCACCAGGACUUGUCAAUAUUGGUGUUGUCCUUGAUCAUCUAGCUAAAAGUGUAUUUGUCUGGUUUCUCUAACUAUGAAAUUCUUACCUCUAACCCCACCCCCUUCAUACUGUACUCCUUGGAACAAAGUCACUAUGCCAACAUUUAUGGAGUUGAGAGAAUUGAUAGGGUGGAAAUCUAGAGGCACCAUAUGAUGUCCUUCUGAAGAAAAGUUCAGGGGGUCAUGAAACCCAGGCUUUAUACCCCCAGAAAACUGCCAAGUGUAUGGAUUCUCCUUCACCAGGGGGCCAGGUGAUUCUUGAAGGAAUCACAAAGAGAAUACUUUGAGAUGGGAAAAAAAUCUCAGGAAAUUUGUCAUUUUUGUAAGAUGCUGAUCUCCUGAAUAUUUCUCCAAGCGACCCAGACAUGUGUCCAAUCUAAAUAAGGAGGCAUCUUCAGAAAUUCUUCACAAACACCCCCAAGAAAUCAUAAAGUGAGGGUCUGUGACCUUUGCCUUUGUAAAGAAAAAUGUGUAGAUCUUCCCACUGACCGAAGAAUGAAUAUCUCAUUAAAAACUUGUUUCAGAGAGAUUGGAGCAGGGAGCAGAUGUCAGUAGAACUACCAAAUUGUAUGUUCCUUGUAUUACAUGAAUGUAGUUAUUUAAAAUAAAAUGUUGGUGCUAUUAUAACAAGAGUA